AUUGAACGCUGGCGGCAGGCCUAACACAUGCAAGUCGAACGGUAACAGAAAGCAGCUUGCUGCUUUGCUGACGAGUGGCGGACGGGUGAGUAAUGUCUGGGAAACUGCCUGAUGGAGGGGGAUAACUACUGGAAACGGUAGCUAAUACCGCAUAACGUCGCAAGACCAAAGAGGGGGACCUUCGGGCCUCUUGCCAUCGGCUGUGCCCAGAUGGGCUUAGCUUGUUGGUGGGGUAACGGCUCACCAAGGCGACGAUCCCUAGCUGGUCUGAGAGGAUGACAAGCCACAUUGAAACGGAGAAAGGGCCAGACUCCUACGGGAGGCAGCAGUGGGGAAUAUUGCACAAUGGGCGCAAGCCUGAUGCAGCCAUGCCGCGUGUAUGAAGAAGGCCUUCGGGUUGUAAAGUACUUUCAGCGGGGAGGAAGGGAGUAAAGUUAAUACCUUUGCUCAUUGACGUUACCCGCAGAAGAAGCACCGGCUAACUCCGUG
rnacentral:rRNA from 1 species